GCGAGAAUUGAAGCACCCUAAUGUGAUUGCACUGCAGAAGGUGUUCCUUUCUCACAGUGACAGGAAGGUGUGGCUGCUGUUUGAUUAUGCAGAACAUGACUUGUGGCAUAUUAUUAAGUUUCACCGUGCAUCAAAAGCAAAUAAAAAACCCAUGCAGUUGCCAAGAUCUAUGGUUAAAUCUUUACUUUAUCAGAUUCUUGAUGGUAUUCAUUACCUCCAUGCAAAUUGGGUGCUUCACAGAGACCUGAAACCAGCAAAUAUCCUAGUAAUGGGAGAAGGUCCUGAGAGGGGGAGAGUCAAAAUAGCUGACAUGGGUUUUGCCAGAUUAUUCAAUUCUCCCCUAAAGCCACUAGCAGAUCUGGACCCAGUAGUUGUGACAUUCUGGUAUCGGGCACCAGAACUUUUGCUUGGUGCAAGGCACUACACAAAAGCCAUUGAUAUAUGGGCCAUAGGUUGCAUAUUUGCUGAAUUGUUGACUUCUGAACCUAUUUUUCACUGUCGUCAAGAAGAUAUAAAAACAAGCAAUCCUUUUCAUCACGAUCAACUAGAUCGGAUAUUUAGUGUUAUGGGGUUUCCUGCAGAUAAAGACUGGGAAGAUAUCAGAAAGAUGCCAGAAUACCCUACACUUCAAAAAGACUUUAGAAGAACAACGUAUGCCAAUAGUAGCCUCAUAAAGUACAUGGAAAAACACAAGGUCAAGCCUGACAGCAAAGUGUUCCUCUUGCUUCAGAAACUCCUUACUAUGGAUCCAACCAAGAGAAUUACCUCAGAGCAGGCUCUGCAGGACCCCUAUUUUCAGGAGGACCCCUUGCCAACAUUAGAUGUGUUUGCUGGCUGUCAGAUUCCAUACCCCAAAAGAGAAUUCCUUAAUGAAGAUGAACCUGAAGAGAAAGGUGACAAGCAACAGCAGCAGAACCAGCAUCAGCAGCCCACAGCCCCUCCACAGCAGGCAGCAGCCCCUCCACAGGCCCCCCCACCACAGCAGAACAGCACUCAGACCAAUGGGACUACAGGAGGGGCUGCAGGUGGUGUGGGUGCUGGAGCAGCACUGCAACACAGCCAGGACUCUGGCCUGAAUCAGGUGCCUCCAAACAAGAAGCCCCGGCUAGGGCCUUCGGGCACAAACUCAGGCGGGCCUGUUAUACCAUCGGAUUAUCAGCACUCCGGUUCUCGCCUGAAUUACCAAAGCAGCGUUCAGGGAUCCUCUCAGUCCCAGAGCACACUAGGUUACUCCUCCUCGUCUCAGCAGAGUACACAGUACCACCCAUCUCACCAGGCCCACCGGUACUGAACAGCUGCCUCCACUUGACCCAGGCCAGCCCAGAGCACAGACUCCAGCAAUAUGAUGUCUGCAUUGCAAGAACCCCCAAAUUCAAGCUAUGAUGCCAUUUAAAACUCGUACACUUGGGAGAAAAACUUGGUAUACUGAGUGUUUUUGCAGAACUCUUAUCUCUUCUUUAUUGAGUUAAAGAAGGUUCUUGUGAAGUUUCCUUGUCCCCUUUCCCUGCAUGAGUUCAUUGUGACUUCUCUGAUAAAGUGUCUGAUCUAAUCCCAGCACUUCUGUAACCUUCAGCAUUUUUUGAAGGAUUUCCAGGUGCACCUUUCUCAUGCUGUAGCAAUCAUUUGAUUUAUCUUUUCAAAGCUCUUUUAAUAGGAUUUUAAAGUUUUAGAAACAGGAUUCCAGUGGUGUGUAGUUUUAUACUUCAUGAACUGAUUUAACAACACAGGUAAAAAUGCACCUUUUAAAGCACUACUCAAUUUUCACAGACUGUAACUGUUUGCUCAUGGAAGUCUUAAACAGAAACUUACUGUCCCAAAGUUCUUUACUAAUUAUGUUUUUAUUUAUUUAGUUUCAGGGAAGGUCUAGUGAAAAGACAAGUGGUGGGACAGAGGGAACCUACAACCAAAAACAGCCUGGAUCUUUGCAGUUACUAUGCUUUAUGCUAUAAAGAACUGAAGUAGCAAAGCUACACAUAAGGGACCGAGACUGUGGGGUCUUUUUGAGGGUAAGGUUUACCUCCAUGGUUCCCAAAUAAUUUCAUUCCUCUGAAAGUUUAUUAGAUAAUAUCAUGUCCUCUGGGAAUGUGGGGGGAGGGGAAGAUACCUCUCAGCCUGUGGGAAUACCUGAACCAAGGAGGUAUUGAAGGAGUGAAAGGUCUUCUGCUCUUCACUUUACAGAUCAGUUUUAGAGUUAGCUUUCUGGUGAGGUGCCUCCUUUUUGAGAAAAAGGACAGACUAGCUUAAAGUAAGGUAGCUUGGCAGUAGGGCUGGUACUAUGAGGCUGAAGCAAUCCUUGUGAUGAAGUAGCUCAUGCAAUGAGAUGUAAAAACCAAGAACGUGUAUAUUUUUAUAUCUGUGUGGUUUUGAAACUUUAGUACUUAGAAUUUUGGCCUUCUGCACUACUCUUUUGCUCUUUUACUCUUAAGAAUAAAAAGGGCGCAUUUUUGUAUAUGUUCACUGCCUUGUUCCUGGUGAAGCCACUGCUAGUUCUCUAUGCCUCUACAACGAUUUUGUUUUCUCUGCUAAAGGGAAAAGAAAAGAAAAAGUAGGUGGAGAAUAAGACUUGCAGCUUGAUUUGCUUUUGAAUAAAUUUAUGUAGCAGAAACUCUACAAUGAAGGAAAAAUUCUCUGAAAGUUGCAAAUCUUAAGCUCCAUGGUGAUAACUUCCUAGGAGAUGGAGAAAGGCAGUGAAAUGCCCAUUAGCCUAACAGAGGCUUGAAGAAGUCAAGUACAAGUCAUGUUUUCUAUAAAACAUAGCAGGUUAGGACCUCAGAAUCUUUAAGAAUAGUCAAAAAUAUCAUUUAAAAAAGAGGUCAUUGUUUUAGGAUUUUUUAAAAAUGUGUUGUACCUAAGGCCAUACUUACUCUUUUAUGCUAUCACUGCAAGGGAAGUGAUAUGUAUGUAUUAUAUGAAAAAAAUCCUGAAUGCACUGUUAUCUCCUAAAUAUUUAGUAAAUUAAUACUAUUUAAUUUUUUUAAACAUUUGUCUGGGUAGACACUAAAAGUAUUACACAAAAUCUGGACUGAAGAUGUCCUUUUUAACAAUGAUUGAAAGUACUUUUUAUAUGUGUUAUGUAGUAUAUCCUUUCUAUACUGCCUAGUUUGUAUUUCUGAUAAUUCUAUUUGUGAAGUGUACCUGUCCCUGUGUCUUUUUCAGUCAUUUUCUGCACGCAACCCUCUAUGUAUGAUAUAGAUAUGACUGUAGCUUUCCAUGCUUUGCUGUGAUUUGUGUGCUCUGAGUCAGCUGCAUCUCAGCAGAGCCCACUCCAGGGGCUGUGGGAUAAGCUGCCGUUUCAGAGCCAAGGGUUUCUGCUUUUGAGUUGUCCUGACAUCCUUCUUGAAAUGACUGUUAAAACUAAGAUAAAUUGCAUUGCAUUUAUUUUAUAUUCUUGAUUGAAA